rnacentral:rRNA from 1 species
UGGGGAAUCUUGCGCAAUGCGCGAAAGCGUGACGCAGCAACGCCGCGUGGGGGAAGAAGGCCUUCGGGUUGUAAACCCCUUUCAGGAGGGACGAAGCCAGGGCGGUGAACAGCCGUUCCUGGUGACGGUACCUCCAGAAGAAGCCCCGGCUAACUACGUGCCAGCAGCCGCGGUAAUACGUAGGGGGCAAGCGUUGUCCGGAAUCAUUGGGCGUAAAGAGCGCGUAGGCGGUCCGGUCAGUCCGCUGUGAAAGUCAAGGGCUCAACCCUUGAAUGCCGGCGGAUACUGCCGGGCUAGAGUCCGGAAGAGGCGAGUGGAAUUCCUGGUGUAGCGGUGAAAUGCGCAGAUAUCAGGAGGAACACCGAUGGCGAAGGCAGCUCGCUGGGACGGUACUGACGCUGAGGCGCGAAAGCGUGGGGAGCAAACAGG